rnacentral:tRNA from 1 species
GGGGACUUAGCUCAGCGGUAGAGCGCUUGCCUAUCAAGCGCAAGGUCCUGGGUUCAGUCCCCA